rnacentral:rRNA from 1 species
GACGAACGCUGGCGGCGUGCUUAACACAUGCAAGUCGAACGGUAAGGCCCUGUUUUUGUUGGGCGCUCGAGUAGCGGACGGGUGACUAACAAGUAAGUAACCUGCCCUUGACUUUGGGCUAACUUCAGGAAACUGGGGCUAUUACCGUAUACGCGUUCCUGCUGGAUGGUGGUGGUAGGAACGUUUGGGCGGUGGGGGAUGGACUGCCGGCUUACUAGCUGGUUGGUGGGGUAGUGGCUUACCAAGGCUUUGACGGGUGGCCGGCCUGGGGGGGUGACCGGCAACAUUGGGACUGGGAUACGGCCCGGACUCCUACGGGGGGAAGAAGGGGGGAAUAUUGAACAAUGGGCGGAGCCCUAAUGCAGCAACGCCGCGUGCGGGUUGACGGCCUUCGGGUUUAAAACCGUUUUCGCCUGUAACGAGGCGUGAGUGACGGUAAUGGGUAAAGAAGCACCGGCUAACUACGUG